UGGGGAAUAUUGGACAAUGGGGGCAACCCUGAUCCAGCCAUGCCGCGUGAAUGAUGAAGGCCUUCGGGUUGUAAAGUUCUUUGGGUGGGACGAUGAUGACGGUACCACCAGAAUAAGCUCCGGCUAACUUCGUGCCAGCAGCCGCGGUAAUACGAAGGGAGCUAGCGUUGUUCGGAAUUACUGGGCGUAAAGGGCGCGUAGGCGGUUCGACAAGUCAGAUGUGAAAGCCCUGGGCUCAACCCGGGAACUGCGUUUGAUACUGUCGAGCUUGAAUUCGGGAGAGGUGAGUGGAAUUCCCAGUGUAGAGGUGAAAUUCGUAGAUAUUGGGAAGAACACCGGUGGCGAAGGCGGCUCACUGGACCGACAUUGACGCUGAGGCGCGAAAGCGUGGGGAGCAAAC
rnacentral:rRNA from 1 species